UCAAGUGACUAAGAGCACAUGGCGGAUGUCUUGGCGUCAAGAGGCGAUGAAGGACGUGGGAACCUGCGAAAAGUUCAGGGGAGCCGGUAACCAGGCUGUGAUCCUGAAAUGUCCGAAUGGGGAAACCCGGCCGUAAGGUCACUCUUACCUGAAUGCAUAGGGUAAGAGAGCGAACCUGGGGAACUGAAACAUCUAAGUACCCAGAGGAAAGGAAAUCAACCGAGACUCCGUGAGUAGCGGCGAGCGAAAGCGGAUUGCGACUUAAGUCAGUGAACGCGUUGGAAAGCGCGGCCAAAGAAGGUGAUAGCCCUGUAGUUGGAUGAUGUCGCUCAGCCCUAGAGUAGCGUCGGUGUCGUGAAACCCGGCGUGAACAUGGGGGGUCCACCCUCCAAGGCUAAGUACUACUUGACGACCGAUAGUUAACCAGUAAGGCGACUGAAUGAUGAAAACUACCCCUGCUAGGGGUGUGAAAGAGUAGCUGAAACCAUGUGCUUACACAGCGGUCAGAGCCCUUCGGGGUGAUGGCGUGCCUUUUGCAUAAUGACCCGGCGAGUUACUCUCAUUGGCGAGGUUAAGGCCUAGCGGGCCGAAGCCGAAGCGAAAGCGAGUCUGAAAUAGGCGUUGAGUCGAUGGGAGUAGACGCGAAACCUUGUGAUCUACCCAUGGGCAGGCUGAAGGCCGGGUAAAACCGGCUGGAGGGCCGAACGCACCAACGUUGAAAAGUUGGGCGAUGACCUGUGGGGAGGACUAAAAGUGUAAUCAAACUGGGAGAUAGCUCGUUCUCUCCGAAAUAUUUUUAGGAAUAGCCUCUUGCGGCAACUGUUGGGGGUAGAGCCACUGGAUACGGAUGGGGCCCUCGGGUACCCACUGUAACCAAACUCCGAAUACCAACAGCCAAGGCAAGGGAGUCAGCCCACGAGUGACAAUAUCCGUGGACAAAAGGGAAACAUCCCAGACCGCCAGCUAAGGUCCCUAAAUAUAGCUCAGUGGGAAACGAUGUGAGAAGGCCCAGACAGCCAGGAGGUUGGCUUAGAAGCAGC
rnacentral:rRNA from 9 species